rnacentral:rRNA from 1 species
GCUCAGAUUGAACGCUGGCGGCGUGCUUAACACAUGCAAGUCGAACGCGAAUUAUGACUUCGGUUAUAUAGUAGAGUGGCGAACGGGUGAGUAACACGUGAGUAACCUGCCCCUUACUUUGGAAUAACUCAGGGAAACUUGGGAUAAUACCAAAUACUUUCCUUAGAAGGCAUCUUCUUUGGAAGAAAGAUUUAUCGGUAAGGGAUGGACUCGCGGCUUAUCAGCUAGUUGGUGGGGUAAUGGCUCACCAAGGCUAUGACGAGUAUCCGGCCUGAGAGGGUGAACGGACACAUUGGGACUGAGAUACGGCCCAGACUCCUACGGGAGGCAGCAGUGGGGAAUAUUGCACAAUGGGCGCAAGCCUGAUGCAGCGACGCCGCGUGAUCGAUGAAGGCCUUCGGGUUGUAAAGAUCUGUCGUACGGGAAUAAGCGAAAGUGAAGGUACCGUGCAAGAAAGGACCGGCUAACUACGUGCCAGCAGCCGCGGUAAUACGUAGGGUCCAAGCGUUAUCCGGAAUUAUUGGGCGUAAAGAGCUUGUAGGUGGCGUGUCGCGUCUGAUGUGAAAACUCUUGGCUUAACCAAGAGCCUGCAUCGGGUACGGGCAUGCUAGAGUAUGGUAGGGGAGACUGGAAUUCCUGGUGUAGCGGUGAAAUGCGCAGAUAUCAGGAGGAACACCAAUGGCGAAGGCAGGACUCUGGGCCAUUACUGACGCUGAGAAGCGAAAGUGUGGGGAGCGAACAGGAUUAGAUACCCUGGUAGUCCACACCGUAAACGUUGGGCACUAGACGUGGGGAGUUUUUUGGCUUUCCGUGUCGCAGCUAACGCAUUAAGUGCCCCGCCUGGGGAGUACGGCCGCAAGGCUAAAACUCAAAGAAAUUGACGGGGGUCCGCACAAGCGGCGGAGCAUGCGGAUUAAUUCGAUGCAACGCGAAGAACCUUACCAAGGCUUGACAUAUACGGGACAGAUUCUAGAGAUAGUUUCCUUCUUCGGGCUCGUAUACAGGUGGUGCAUGGUUGUCGUCAGCUCGUGUUGUGAAAUGUUGGGUUAAGUCCCGCAACGAGCGCAGCCCUUGUCUCGUGUUGCCAGCAUUAAGUUGGGGACUCACGAGAGACUGCCGGGGUCAACUCGGAGGAAGGUGGGGAUGACGUCAAAUCAUCAUGCCCCUUACGUCUUGGGCUUCACGCAUGCUACAAUGGCAGGUACAG